UAAAUAAAUAGUUACAUUGCUCAUCUUCUAGCUUUCAGCCACUUCUGUGCAUUCACAGUGGCAGCAAAGUUUUUUAUUUUAUUUUAUCUUAUUUAUUAUUAUAAAACUGAGGUGCUUAUAACUCUAUUUAUUUGACUAAUAUAUACAAUAAUAUCUUGAACAUCAUCUACCAAUUAUAAAACUGAGGUGCUUAUAACUCUAUUUAUAAUUAAUCAUAUAAAUUAUGACAUUCUUCUUUUGUAUAUGUAGGCAAAGAGUAAAAUAUUUCGGGCAAUGAGGAAAAAGCAAACCCUCUUACACACCAUGAGUCGUAAAGGUUAUGCACGAUGAAGGAAGGAAGGAAAAUAUAGAACUAUACAUUUCAGAACAUGGUGACAAUAUCUCCUACUUCUUUCUUAAAGACACAAAUUGAUUACAAGGUCAUAAACAUGGACCGAUGGACGGGUUUCUAUCGGUUUUGCAAUGAGUUCCUUGCUAUUCAAAUGUUGAGAGAAGACAUGGGUGCCUCACCCUUACUCAUCAUUAUAGGUGGUGGUUUUGCCAGCAUGGCAGCUACUCAGGUCCUUCAUGAUGCUUCAUUUUAGGUAUUUGUUA